rnacentral:rRNA from 1 species
UACGGAGGGGACUAGCGUUGUUCGGAAUUACUGGGCGUAAAGCGCACGUAGGCGGAUAUUUAAGUCAGGGGUGAAAUCCUGGAGCUCAACUCCAGAACUGCCUUUGAUACUGGGGAGCUCGAGUCCGGAAGAGGUGAGUGGAACUCCGAGUGUAGAGGUGAAAUUCGUAGAUAUUCGGAAGAACACCAGUGGCGAAGGCGGCUCACUGGUCCGGUACUGACGCUGAGGUGCGAAAGCGUGGGGAGCAAACAGG